ensembl:snRNA U6 U6 spliceosomal RNA
GUGCUCACUUUGGCAGCACAUAUACUAAAAUUGGAACCAUAUAGAGAUUAGCAAGACCUAAAUGAAAGGAUAAUAUGCAAAUGAGGUAAUAUCAAUAUUUUU